GAACUGAAGAGUUUGAUCAUGGCUCAGAUUGAACGCUGGCGGCAGGCCUAACACAUGCAAGUCGAGCGGAUGAAGGGAGCUUGCUCCUGGAUUCAGCGGCGGACGGGUGAGUAAUGCCUAGGAAUCUGCCUGGUAGUGGGGGAUAACGUCCGGAAACGGGCGCUAAUACCGCAUACGUCCUGAGG
rnacentral:rRNA from 1 species